CAUGCGGCAGCUACACAUGCAGUCGAGCGGUAGCACAGAGAGCUUGCUCUCGGGUGACGAGCGGCGGACGGGUGAGUAAUGUCUGGGAAACUGCCUGAUGGAGGGGGAUAACUACUGGAAACGGUAGCUAAUACCGCAUAAUGUCGCAAGACCAAAGUGGGGGACCUUCGGGCCUCAUGCCAUCAGAUGUGCCCAGAUGGGAUUAGCUAGUAGGUGGGGUAACGGCUCACCUAGGCGACGAUCCCUAGCUGGUCUGAGAGGAUGACCAGCCACACUGGAACUGAGACACGGUCCAGACUCCUACGGGAGGCAGCAGUGGGGAAUAUUGCACAAUGGGCGCAAGCCUGAUGCAGCCAUGCCGCGUGUGUGAAGAAGGCCUUCGGGGUUGUUAAAGCACUUUCUUAGCGGGGGAGUGAAUGGCGUCUAACGCUAAUUAACCUUGUCCUUGAUUGACCUUACCCUGCAGAAGAAGCACCUGGCUAACUCCGUGCCAGCAGCCGCGGUAAUACGGGAGGGUGCAAGCGUUAAUCGGAAUUACUGGGCGUAAAGCGCACGCAGGCGGUCUGUCAAGUCGGAUGUGAAAUCCCCGGGCUCAACCUGGGAACUGCAUUCGAAACUGGCAGGCUAGAGUCUUGUAGAGGGGGGUAGAAUUCCAGGUGUAGCGGUGAAAUGCGUAGAGAUCUGGAGGAAUACCGGUGGCGAAAGCGGCCCCCUGGACAAAGACUGACGCUCAGGUGCGAAAGCGUGGGGAGCAAACAGGAUUAGAUACCCUGGUAGUCCACGCCGUAAACGAUGUCGAUUUGGAGGUUGGUGCCCUUGAGGCGUGACUUCAGGAGCUAACGCGUUAAAUCGACCGCCUGGGGGAGUACGGCCGCAAGGUUAAAACUCAAAUGAAUUGACGGGCGCCCGCCACAAGCGGUGAAGCAUGUGGUUUAAUUCGAUGCAACGCGAAGAACCUUACCUGGUCUUGACAUCCACAGAACUUUCCAGAGAUGGAUUGGUGCCUUCGGGAACUGUGAGACAGGUGCUGCAUGGCUGUCCUCAGCUCCCGUUGGCGU
rnacentral:rRNA from 1 species